UUGACCUCGAAUCAGGUAGGAAUACCCGCUGAACUUAAGCAUAUCAAUAAGCGGAGGAAAAGAAACCAACCGGGAUUA
rnacentral:rRNA from 1 species